AUCUUUCUUUAUUUCUUUCUUAUACUUUCUUAUUCUCUCUCUUCCUUCCUCUCUUUCUCUCUCACAGACUGUUGCUUCAUUUUUCUUCUUCCUCUUCUCCUUCCUCUUCUUCUUUCUUCUUCCUUUUCUUCUUUACAGACCGUAAUGAUAUUCUCUGUAAUACUUGGCUAACGAAACCUUAAUCAAACUCGAAAACUACACACGAAAUUAGGGUUUCAGAAGUCCUAUGAAAAUGAAGAAGAUGCAUAAAAUUAGGGUUUCCAGAAAUCUUAUGAAAAUGAAGAAGAUGCACAAGAUUAGGGUUUCAGGUAAGUUUGAUUCUAUCGAUAGGAUUGUGGCUGGAAUGAAAGGAUGAUGGGAUUGCAGGUUCAAACGGGAUUAAAGAAGAUGGAAUUGAAGAUUCAAACGAGAUGCAACCAAAGCCUCAAUACAUAGCAAGGAAAGUUGUUGCUGCUUAAGGAAAAGUAGAAUUCAUGUUUGUACAUCUUGCAGAAGAGACUGGACGAUAUUAGGUUGUGCAGGUGCAACUGUAUUAGUGUGUUGAUGGUUUUGGCCUCUUUCAUUGCACAUCUUGCGGGGUCCUAUUUGAUCGUAAGCGUUAUUUUCCGAUUGGAAUUUAUAGUUGGCUUCUGUAGGAAUCAUUUGUUUGUUGUUCUAUGUUGGUUGGUUCUCUUCGGUUCGGUGAUGCGAUGAUACUUAGUUCCGUCGUGACUGCUUCAUACUCUCAAAGAACUCAAGAUAAUGAAGUGAACCAAGAAUGCUUCCAAAAAAUCGUCGAAGAAGUUAAGUUUCAGGUUUAUGUGUUUUGCCUGUUGAAGUAUUGCUCCUGCAUGUGUAUCGACAGUACUCGCCGACGAAGAUAUCAAUGAAACAACCAAUUCCCGAAAACCUUCAACUUUCCUCAACGUUGUUGCUCUCGGCAACAUCAGUGCUGGUAAACCAGCAGUUUUGAAUAGUUUAAUUGGACAUCGAGUUUUGGUAAGUUAGGUUUUGAAACUCUAUAAUCUCAAGAAUGUUUAACUUCUUCUGACGAGGUAAUGUUUCCAAGGGCCCCUCCUACUGAUAACACAUGUAUGUGUCUGAUGUAAUAUCUAUAUAUCUAUUUUACAUGGUGGUGGGACUAGCAUGAAAUUGUUUGAUCCAUGUAAUUCAAUGUUAGAUUCAUCCAUGUCGCUGCAUACUUUGUCUAUUGUUGCGAAUUUUUCUCGGUAAUAUAUGUUGAUUACUGAUGUCAAUCAGUACUAAGAUGGAUCUUGAUGGCUAUGGAAAUCACGUGUUGACAACCAUUGGUAACUUAUACAUUUGCUUAAUUGCAGUGGGAAUAGUGGUCAAGAUUGCAACCAAUAUUUUACUGGUGCAGCCAAUAUUACAAGUUUAUUGCAGUGUGAUUCUUUGCCGAAGGUCUUUUGUUUGUUACUAAAUUAUGUUGCAGAAUUCUGUAAUUAAUUGCACAAUUGAGUAAUUAAUUAUGUUUUCCUUGAUUUUGAUUUUGAAUUAUCAAAUUCCUAUUUUAUUAUUCACAUCAAACAAAUUUGCAGCUUCCUUCAAUUAGGGUUUUGUUUCCCUUUCUUCGAUUCAUAACAGCACAUACACCACUCUUCAACGUGCGACCGUGGUCACGCGCCUCCUGUGUUUGGUUGAACACGCUCGAGACACACACCAUGGGAGGUGAGGUGAAGGUGUUGUUGACGAUUCUGCAUCGGAAUCGAAGACCGGUGUUGAAGGUGUUAACAUCAAUGUUUGAUGCUCCAACGGUUCGUGGUUUCCGUUCAGGUUUCUCUCGAUUCAACAGUUGAAUCGUUCAAGGAUCUCACUGCAAGUAACUGUGAUAUCCCCAAACAGCAACAACUUCUCAUUUACAAGGGGAGGAAAUUGAAGGACGGUCAAACGUUUCAAAGAUAUGGAAGUACUAGACGGAAAUGUAGAAUCUCUUGAAUCUUACAAGACUUCAGCAGAGAGUUUCCUAUGCACACUGAUACCCGAAACUUCGAGUUUGCAUAUUGAGUACACUCCUGGUGGACUCAUAUACAGACCAGGUGAAAGCAACUUACAACAUGCAACUUCGAUUGCUUUCCUUGAGUUAGUCUAUGCGAAUUACUUGUCCCGCACGUCGUAGACCAUAAACUGUGGAAAUGUUCAAGUUAGCGGGCAAUCACUUCGUGAGCAUGCUAAGAGACAAGUUGAUUACAUUUUAGGCGAUAAUCCGUUGGGUUUAUCUUACAUGGUUGGUUAUGGUAACAACUAUCCGCAACAUAUUCAUACUCAAAAGAUUGAAUGCCAUGAAGGGACAAUUUACUUCAACUCAACAAAUCCUAAUCCAAAUGUUCAUGUAGGAGCCACUAUGGGAGGACCUGGAGAAGAUGAUGUUUAUGGGGAUGACAGGGCUGAUUUGAGAAAGUCUGAGCCAACCACAUAUAUCAAUGCACCACUAUUGAGGCUAAGGAAGACAAAGAAGGGGCUCCAAAGGCUAAGGUUCUUCUUGCAUCAUCUGAUAUCAUCAUUGAUGUAUAUUUAUAUUUCUAAUCCUACAGCUUCCCGUAUAAGUGACUUUUCACAAACAAUUUGGUUAUGUUUUAAUGUGAUAGGCAGGACUUGCAUGCAUUGAGAUUCAUUAAAUUGAUGAAUGCCAUCGACCCAGAAUUUUAGGACAUUUUAACAUCUCAAUAUUCUAAAAGCUGAGACAAGGAUCCUUCUCAUCAGUGGACAAAUCAAGGUAAUGACUUUUUUCUUAUGGAUUUUUAGGAGGAUCAUGCGGAUUAUAUCAAUCUCCUUUCACUCCUUAAGUCAGGACAUAAUUAUAUUGUGUUAUCGUAUUAUGCAUUUGGUUGUGAAUUGCAUUGAAGUUGGUUUAAAGUUGAAUGUGUAAGGAAUGUGAAAUAUGGACCUGUCAUGGUUUUCUUUUGAAGUCAUGGUGCUUUAGCUUGGCUUUGAAUUUAGAUUGGAUUGGCUGUGUUUGCUGAUUAUUGAGAGGCCUUCCACCGAUUCGGUUGCAGAAGGGGCUCUGCUGUUGGUACACUACAAACAACCAAAGGUUUUUUUAGGUCAUACAAAAAUCUACAAUUCUAUUGGAUUCUUGGAGCUGGCCAUUUUGGUCCUCUCAUUGUUUGCAGACCGAUAUAAGUUCUAUUCGCAGCCAGCCAAAUAUGUGUUAUAAUGAUGUAGUUUCUUGUACAAUAGUGGAAACAAGGAUAACCUCUUUAAAGUAGCUAUUAGCUGGUGUACCAAUGGUAGGUAACUACAUGGGAGGCUAUAACAGUUGCAUGUUUACAUAUGAUCAAAUGGGAAGAAGACGCACACCAUGCUUUGUGACAUUGAAGGGGGAACUAGAAGACACAGUGUCAACUGUGGGAUGACACCAAGAUUUCAUCAAGAAAAAUCGUGCCUUUGCUUCUUUGAUUUCCACUUUGGACACUCAAUCAAUCACCAAGUUUGAAAUCUCUAUUCCAUCCCUUUUUCAAUUAUCCUUCCAUUUUCACUUACUAUUAUUCUUCCUUUUAACUCAUACACUUAUCUAAUUGGGAUUGUGAAUUUUGUUUUCAUUGCUUAAUUAACGGUGAUCAUGCACUACAUAAUUUAAUAAUAGACAUAUGAAUUAGUUGUGAAGUUGUUGAUUUGGCAAAGUGAGUUAAAGUUUGAUAAAGCCAAAAUUUCUAAAGUUGUAUGGUCUGCAUUAAUAUAAUUGAAUGUUUUGAAAUGAUUACAAACCUAACAUAUUUAGAGAUCAUAACUAUAAAGCAUGCAUAACUACUAAUAGGCUUUACUGAAUCAAUAUGAUGGUCUAUUUUCUUAAUUAAUUAAUAUUACUAUAUUGGUAUAUGCCAUGCAGUUUUUUUUUGUCUUUGCACAAUCAAGUCAAUGCAUUCAAAUUGCUAUGGUGUCCUUAUGUGUUCUAAGGAGCUUUCUUAAUUGACCGCAUACAAUAAACGAUUGAGUUAAGCUGAAGUUUUAUGAUUGACUCCCGAAAAAAAAUCAUAAUAACUCUUUGAGUGCAAUACACUAUAAGAUAUAGGUAUUAUGAUUAUCUUUUUCACAUUGAGAAUAAUAAAUAUGCUUUUUCAUUUUGGGCUUUUAUUGCAUGCAAAUUAACGUUUCACUUUAAGGCGGGGUUACGAUAAAUGGAGUACCUUUCAUAAUAGGAGUUCGAGAAGUAAGAAAUUGAUCAUUGAUGAUAUGAAGAAAAAUCUUUGGACUGCAAUUAGAAGUGAAAAGAUAAAGUCUUUGUCCACCAACGUUUCUCUUUUUCUAAAGCAGAUGUGGCUCUUAUAUGCAUCAAAUAAAUUGAUCUCUACAGGUACACAUGUAUAUUUUAUAAUCUAUCAUCGUAAUGAAUCUUCUUGGAGGCACAGAUAGACAGGUAGAUGAGAAGCGUAUUUAUGAGAUAGCAGUUGUAGAUUGUUUAUCGUAACAAAGGUUCUUAAAGGCAUAAACUGGUGGGUAUAUGUGAAGCGUAUCUAUGGGAUAACAUUUGUAGACCGUUAAUUGUAUUGAAGGUUUUUGCAGGCAUAGAUCGACGGGUAGAUGUCAAGCGCGGGAUAACAGUUGUAAAUUGUUCAUCGUACUUACCAUUGCUGUGUUCAAACAAGUUUUUGUGUUAGUUAGUAAACGGCAUUUCCUUUUUCUUUUAUGCUACAAUUAUAAUCUCUAUCAUUUAAAGCUUUCUUUUACUGUUGUUUUAUAUGAUUGAAGUUAGAGAAUCAGUUGUAUGACUUAUUCACUUCAACAAGAUUUUUAAAUAUUCAAUCAA